CCUACGUGAGGCAGCAGUGAGGAAUAUUGGUCAAUGGGCGCGAGCCUGAACCAGCCAAGUCGCGUGAGGGAAAACGGUCCUAUGGAUUUUAAACCUCUUUUGUCGGGGAGCAAAAGACGCCACGUGUGGCGUUCCGAGAGUACCCGAAGAAAAAGCAUCGGUUAACUCCGUGCCAGCAGCCGCGGUAAUACGGAGGAUGCGAGCGUUAUCCGGAUUUAUUGGGUUUAAAGGGUGCGAAGGCGGAAGAUCAAGUCAGCGGUAAAAUUGAGAGGCUCAACCUCUUCGAGCCGUUGAAACUGGUUUUCUUGAGUGAGCGAGAAGUAUGCGGAAUGCGUGGUGUAGCGGUGAAAUGCAUAGAUAGCACGCAGAACUCCGAUUGCGAAGGCAGCAUACCGGCGCUCAACUGACGCUCAUGCACGAAAGUGUGGGUAUCGAACAGGAUUAGAUACCCCUGUAGUC
rnacentral:rRNA from 1 species